AUUGAACGCUGGCGGCAUGCUUUACACAUGCAAGUCGAACGGCAGCGCGGGCUUCGGCCUGGCGGCGAGUGGCGAACGGGUGAGUAAUGCAUCGGAACGUGCCCAGUAGUGGGGGAUAGCCCGGCGAAAGCCGGAUUAAUACCGCAUACGACCUGAGGGUGAAAGCGGGGGACCGAAAGGCCUCGCGCUAUUGGAGCGGCCGAUGUCGGAUUAGCUAGUUGGUGGGGUAAAGGCUUACCAAGGCGACGAUCCGUAGCUGGUCUGAGAGGACGACCAGCCACACUGGGACUGAGACACGGCCCAGACUCCUGCGGGAGGCAGCAGUGGGGAAUUGUGGACAAUGGGGGCAACCCUGAUCCAGCCAUGCCGCGUGCGGGAAGAAGGCCUUCGGGUUGUAAACCGCUUUUGUUCGGGAAGAAAUCCUCUGGGCUAAUACCCCGGGGGGAUGACGGUACCGGAAGAAUAAGCACCGGCUAACUACGUG
rnacentral:rRNA from 1 species